GACGCGGGGUGGAGCAGCCUGGUAGCUCGUCGGGCUCAUAACCCGAAGGUCGUCGGUUCAAAUCCGGCC
rnacentral:tRNA from 6 species